rnacentral:rRNA from 1 species
UACGUAGGGUGCAAGCGCUGUCCGGAAUUAUUGGGCGUAAAGAGCUCGUAGGCGGUCUGUCGCGUCGGCUGUGAAAUCCCGGGGCUCAACCCCGGGCCUGCAGUCGAUACGGGCAGACUAGAGUGCGGUAGGGGAGACUGGAAUUCCUGGUGUAGCGGUGAAAUGCGCAGAUAUCAGGAGGAACACCGGUGGCGAAGGCGGGUCUCUGGGCCGUAACUGACGCUGAGGAGCGAAAGCGUGGGGAGCAAACAGG